ensembl:lncRNA
AUGGACUGGUCUCUAUCCACUUCCUCGUAAAGAAACAGGUAGCGGUGAAAGGGGGGUUGGGAGUGGAGAUAUGGACUGGUCUCUAUCCACUUCCUCGUAAAGAAACAGGUAGCGGUGAAGGUUGGGGGGUUGGGAGUGGAGAUAUGGACUGGUCUCUAUCCACUUCCUCGUAAAGAAACAGGUAGCGGUGAAGGGGGGGGGGUUGGGAGUGGAGAUAUGGACUGGUCUCUAUCCACUUCCUCGUAAAGAAACAGGCAUACACGUGUCUUACU